UUUUUUUUUGUUUGUUUGAAUGAAACUGACCCUCGCUUAAUAUAUAUAUAAAAUAUUAAUCAAUCGGACUGGAGUUACCGGAAUUUUGGCAAUGGACAAAUCCACCAAUGCUUGCUGGGGCGAACUGGAUAUGCCAAAUGUUGAAGAAGAAUCCGGCUCGAAGGACCAAAUGUUGUAGUAGGGCGUCCGCAGGGCUUCCAGAUGAACUUCUACGAAAUGAAUUAUCGUUGGGGAGCGUUUCUGGUCUGCACAGUUUUCUUAAGAAGAGUACAUUACAAUGUAUUAGUGUAAGUGAGGUGAAAUUCAUGUUCCAUGUACUUGUUCCGGAAUUACAUGGCGGUUGGAUGGCGACUGCCGGAUACACUUCUUGUGUGAACACCCUUCUUAUUGAUACAAAUAUGCCUGAAAAUCGAAAUAGGACAUUUUCUUACCCAAA